AUGCAGUGACACUGACAAUAAUUUAAAGCAUUUUAGGGCUCUUAACGUUCAUCUCACUCGCUCUAGAGUGAAGGAGAGAGCAGAGAGUACAGAGCAGGUCCUAGGUCCUCCCCCAGAUAUAGAAAAACCGCAGUUGGAGAGACUGACAGAAGUGCUGGAGAGGAAGGGAGGCAGCAGGACGUGGAAAAUCUGGGAUUCAAGAACAGCUUCUGCUAUUAAUUAGCUGUGUGUCAUUUCAGGCAAAUCACAAAAUCUCCAGGCCCCCAAAUCCCCAUUUGCGAAACGAGGUGACCUGCCUCAGUUUUCCUUCAUCCAGCGAUAAAAUUCUACUAAAAAAUUUCCAACCCCAGAGCAAGCAUCAGGACUGUGCCUGAAGGGAUCCGGCUGCAUCUCAGUAAUAUUCCACUCUUACAGGCUUAAAAAUAAAAAAGAAAAGAAAAGAAAACAAGAACAGUUUCACCAGCGUCAAUUGAGAACAGCUGCUUCAACAGGCCCUGCUUUAUGUGGGCAGGUGGGGACAGGGAGUUGGCCCAGAAAACAGGACCCUCAUUUCCUGGAGCCCCCAGGGCAGCUCCCCAACACCGUACACAACCUGCAUCAUUUACAGGAGCCAAAGGAGUUUUAGAAAUCAACUUCAUAGAGUUGCUGUAUCAUUGUGUUAGUUUUGCCAUCCUAACCUAUACAGCGUCACUAAUCUCUCCCCUCGGAGUUGACUGCCUAAAAACAAGCCAUGGAUACAGGUUCCAAAGACCCGGGGGUGAGGGAGCGGAGAGGGUGGGUGUCACCACCCCGUCCAGCUCCAAGCUUUGUGUGCCCUGGAACUCUCCAUUUUAGGUCAUUGCUUCAGUUUCUUUUCUAAAAAAUUAGGCUGCUGCAAGGUCAGCCUGAGACCACUUCUGCCCCGAGAAUUCUAGACUAGUAAGACCUGGUGACAUACAAACGACGAAGAUAUUUUACAAUAAUGCCAUGGCCCUUGAUAGCUACACGAGGUUUGUGUUCUGAUUUUAAAUUAAUGGAUGACGUCGAGACUAUAUGGAGGAAAUGACAAAGGACAGGAGAGAGGUGGGAAAGGAAGACCUAGACUGAAAAUGGAAGUUGGGCAGCAGCUCCACGAAAGAAAGACCAGCCCCCAAGUGCAGUGACAGCGCAGAGUAGCGACCGAGAAGUUCCCAGGCCAGCUGCCACCCCGCCCCCAUGCCAUUCCCCAGAACAGGCACAGGCGUUAGGGCGGGGCGCGCGUGCGCAGUCACGCGCUGCGCCAACCGCCACAGCUCCGGGAAGGCGGCCAGGACCGGCUAGAGCCGGUUAGAACCAGUGGCGCCCGCCCACGAGCCAGCGCCUCACAAAGGGAGGGCGGCUCACGGCCCUCGCGUAUCCCUGCGCGGCGCUCGCGAGCCGCCCCUCCCCCGGCGUUUGUCCCUGACGCAGCCCCACCGGUUGCGCAGUCCCUCCCCGCCCCCGCUCUCCCCUCCGCAGCCUGCAGCCCGAGACUUCUGUAAAGGACUGGGGCCCCGCAACUGGCCUCUCCUGCCCUCUUAAGCGCAGCGCCAUUUUAGCAACGCAGAAGCCCGGCGCCGGGAAGCCUCAGCUCGCCUGAAGGCAGGUCCCCUCUGACGCCUCCGGGAGCCCAGGUUUCCCAGAGUCCUUGGGACGCAGCGACGAGUUGUGCUGCUAUCUUAGCUGUCCUUAUAGGCUGGCCAUUCCAGGUGGUGGUAUUUAGAUAAAACCACUCAAACUCUGCAGUUUGGUCUUGGGGUUUGGAGGAAAGCUUUUAUUUUUCUUCCUGCUCCGGUUCAGAAGGUCUGAAGCUCAUACCUAACCAGGCAUAACACAGAAUCUGCAAAACAAAAACCCCUAAAAAAGCAGACCCAGAGCAGUGUAAACACUUCUGGGUGUGUCCCUGACUGGCUGCCCAAGGUCUCUGUGUCUUCGGAGACAAAGCCAUUCGCUUAGUUGGUCUACUUUAAAAGGCCACUUGAACUCGCUUUCCAUGGCGAUUUGCCUUGUGAGCACUUUCAGGAGAGCCUGGAAGCUGAAAAACGGUAGAAAAAUUUCCGUGCGGGCCGUGGGGGGCUGGCGGCAACUGGGGGGCCGCAGAUCAGAGUGGGCCACUGGCAGCCAACGGCCCCCGGGGCUCAGGCGGGGAGCAGCUCUGUGGUGUGGGAUUGAGGCGUUUUCCAAGAGUGGGUUUUCACGUUUCUAAGAUUUCCCAAGCAGACAGCCCGUGCUGCUCCGAUUUCUCGAACAAAAAAGCAAAACGUGUGGCUGUCUUGGGAGCAAGUCGCAGGACUGCAAGCAGUUGGGGGAGAAAGUCCGCCAUUUUGCCACUUCUCAACCGUCCCUGCAAGGCUGGGGCUCAGUUGCGUAAUGGAAAGUAAAGCCCUGAACUAUCACACUUUAAUCUUCCUUCAAAAGGUGGUAAACUAUACCUACUGUCCCUCAAGAGAACACAAGAAGUGCUUUAAGAGGUAUUUUAAAAGUUCCGGGGGUUUUGUGAGGUGUUUGAUGACCCGUUUAAAAUAUGAUUUCCAUGUUUCUUUUGUCUAAAGUUUGCAGCUCAAAUCUUUCCACACGCUAGUAAUUUAAGUAUUUCUGCAUGUGUAGUUUGCAUUCAAGUUCCAUAAGCUGUUAAGAAAAAUCUAGAAAAGUAAAACUAGAACCUAUUUUUAACCGAAGAACUACUUUUUGCCUCCCUCACAAAGGCGGCGGAAGGUGAUCGAAUUCCGGUGAUGCGAGUUGUUCUCCGUCUAUAAAUACGCCUCGCCCGAGCUGUGCGGUAGGCAUUGAGGCAGCCAGCGCAGGGGCUUCUGCUGAGGGGGCAGGCGGAGCUUGAGGAAACCGCAGAUAAGUUUUUUUCUCUUUGAAAGAUAGAGAUUAAUACAACUACUUAAAAAAUAUAGUCAAUAGGUUACUAAGAUAUUGCUUAGCGUUAAGUUUUUAACGUAAUUUUAAUAGCUUAAGAUUUUAAGAGAAAAUAUGAAGACUUAGAAGAGUAGCAUGAGGAAGGAAAAGAUAAAAGGUUUCUAAAACAUGACGGAGGUUGAGAUGAAGCUUCUUCAUGGAGUAAAAAAUGUAUUUAAAAGAAAAUUGAGAGAAAGGACUACAGAGCCCCGAAUUAAUACCAAUAGAAGGGCAAUGCUUUUAGAUUAAAAUGAAGGUGACUUAAACAGCUUAAAGUUUAGUUUAAAAGUUGUAGGUGAUUAAAAUAAUUUGAAGGCGAUCUUUUAAAAAGAGAUUAAACCGAAGGUGAUUAAAAGACCUUGAAAUCCAUGACGCAGGGAGAAUUGCGUCAUUUAAAGCCUAGUUAACGCAUUUACUAAACGCAGACGAAAAUGGAAAGAUUAAUUGGGAGUGGUAGGAUGAAACAAUUUGGAGAAGAUAGAAGUUUGAAGUGGAAAACUGGAAGACAGAAGUACGGGAAGGCGAAGAAAAGAAUAGAGAAGAUAGGGAAAUUAGAAGAUAAAAACAUACUUUUAGAAGAAAAAAGAUAAAUUUAAACCUGAAAAGUAGGAAGCAGAAGAAAAAAGACAAGCUAGGAAACAAAAAGCUAAGGGCAAAAUGUACAAACUUAGAAGAAAAUUGGAAGAUAGAAACAAGAUAGAAAAUGAAAAUAUUGUCAAGAGUUUCAGAUAGAAAAUGAAAAACAAGCUAAGACAAGUAUUGGAGAAGUAUAGAAGAUAGAAAAAUAUAAAGCCAAAAAUUGGAUAAAAUAGCACUGAAAAAAUGAGGAAAUUAUUGGUAACCAAUUUAUUUUAAAAGCCCAUCAAUUUAAUUUCUGGUGGUGCAGAAGUUAGAAGGUAAAGCUUGAGAAGAUGAGGGUGUUUACGUAGACCAGAACCAAUUUAGAAGAAUACUUGAAGCUAGAAGGGGAAGUUGGUUAAAAAUCACAUCAAAAAGCUACUAAAAGGACUGGUGUAAUUUAAAAAAAACUAAGGCAGAAGGCUUUUGGAAGAGUUAGAAGAAUUUGGAAGGCCUUAAAUAUAGUAGCUUAGUUUGAAAAAUGUGAAGGACUUUCGUAACGGAAGUAAUUCAAGAUCAAGAGUAAUUACCAACUUAAUGUUUUUGCAUUGGACUUUGAGUUAAGAUUAUUUUUUAAAUCCUGAGGACUAGCAUUAAUUGACAGCUGACCCAGGUGCUACACAGAAGUGGAUUCAGUGAAUCUAGGAAGACAGCAGCAGACAGGAUUCCAGGAACCAGUGUUUGAUGAAGCUAGGACUGAGGAGCAAGCGAGCAAGCAGCAGUUCGUGGUGAAGAUAGGAAAAGAGUCCAGGAGCCAGUGCGAUUUGGUGAAGGAAGCUAGGAAGAAGGAAGGAGCGCUAACGAUUUGGUGGUGAAGCUAGGAAAAAGGAUUCCAGGAAGGAGCGAGUGCAAUUUGGUGAUGAAGGUAGCAGGCGGCUUGGCUUGGCAACCACACGGAGGAGGCGAGCAGGCGUUGUGCGUAGAGGAUCCUAGACCAGCAUGCCAGUGUGCCAAGGCCACAGGGAAAGCGAGUGGUUGGUAAAAAUCCGUGAGGUCGGCAAUAUGUUGUUUUUCUGGAACUUACUUAUGGUAACCUUUUAUUUAUUUUCUAAUAUAAUGGGGGAGUUUCGUACUGAGGUGUAAAGGGAUUUAUAUGGGGACGUAGGCCGAUUUCCGGGUGUUGUAGGUUUCUCUUUUUCAGGCUUAUACUCAUGAAUCUUGUCUGAAGCUUUUGAGGGCAGACUGCCAAGUCCUGGAGAAAUAGUAGAUGGCAAGUUUGUGGGUUUUUUUUUUUUACACGAAUUUGAGGAAAACCAAAUGAAUUUGAUAGCCAAAUUGAGACAAUUUCAGCAAAUCUGUAAGCAGUUUGUAUGUUUAGUUGGGGUAAUGAAGUAUUUCAGUUUUGUGAAUAGAUGACCUGUUUUUACUUCCUCACCCUGAAUUCGUUUUGUAAAUGUAGAGUUUGGAUGUGUAACUGAGGCGGGGGGGAGUUUUCAGUAUUUUUUUUUGUGGGGGUGGGGGCAAAAUAUGUUUUCAGUUCUUUUUCCCUUAGGUCUGUCUAGAAUCCUAAAGGCAAAUGACUCAAGGUGUAACAGAAAACAAGAAAAUCCAAUAUCAGGAUAAUCAGACCACCACAGGUUUACAGUUUAUAGAAACUAGAGCAGUUCUCACGUUGAGGUCUGUGGAAGAGAUGUCCAUUGGAGAAAUGGCUGGUAGUUACUCUUUUUUCCCCCCACCCCCUUAAUCAGACUUUAAAAGUGCUUAACCCCUUAAACUUGUUAUUUUUUACUUGAAGCAUUUUGGGAUGGUCUUAACAGGGAAGAGAGAGGGUGGGGGAGAAAAUGUUUUUUUCUAAGAUUUUCCACAGAUGCUAUAGUACUAUUGACAAACUGGGUUAGAGAAGGAGUGUACCGCUGUGCUGUUGGCACGAACACCUUCAGGGACUGGAGCUGCUUUUAUCCUUGGAAGAGUAUUCCCAGUUGAAGCUGAAAAGUACAGCACAGUGCAGCUUUGGUUCAUAUUCAGUCAUCUCAGGAGAACUUCAGAAGAGCUUGAGUAGGCCAAAUGUUGAAGUUAAGUUUUCCAAUAAUGUGACUUCUUAAAAGUUUUAUUAAAGGGGAGGGGCAAAUAUUGGCAAUUAGUUGGCAGUGGCCUGUUACGGUUGGGAUUGGUGGGGUGGGUUUAGGUAAUUGUUUAGUUUAUGAUUGCAGAUAAACUCAUGCCAGAGAACUUAAAGUCUUAGAAUGGAAAAAGUAAAGAAAUAUCAACUUCCAAGUUGGCAAGUAACUCCCAAUGAUUUAGUUUUUUUCCCCCCAGUUUGAAUUGGGAAGCUGGGGGAAGUUAAAUAUGAGCCACUGGGUGUACCAGUGCAUUAAUUUGGGCAAGGAAAGUGUCAUAAUUUGAUACUGUAUCUGUUUUCCUUCAAAGUAUAGAGCUUUUGGGGAAGGAAAGUAUUGAACUGGGGGUUGGUCUGGCCUACUGGGCUGACAUUAACUACAAUUAUGGGAAAUGCAAAAGUUGUUUGGAUAUGGUAGUGUGUGGUUCUCUUUUGGAAUUUUUUUCAGGUGAUUUAAUAAUAAUUUAAAACUACUAUAGAAACUGCAGAGCAAAGGAAGUGGCUUAAUGAUCCUGAAGGGAUUUCUUCUGAUGGUAGCUUUUGUAUUAUCAAGUAAGAUUCUAUUUUCAGUUGUGUGUAAGCAAGUUUUUUUUUAGUGUAGGAGAAAUACUUUUCCAUUGUUUAACUGCAAAACAAGAUGUUAAGGUAUGCUUCAAAAAUUUUGUAAAUUGUUUAUUUUAAACUUAUCUGUUUGUAAAUUGUAACUGAUUAAGAAUUGUGAUAGUUCAGCUUGAAUGUCUCUUAGAGGGUGGGCUUUUGUUGAUGAGGGAGGGGAAACUUUUUUUUUUUCUAUAGACUUUUUUCAGAUAACAUCUUCUGAGUCAUAACCAGCCUGGCAGUAUGAUGGCCUAGAUGCAGAGAAAACAGCUCCUUGGUGAAUUGAUAAGUAAAGGCAGAAAAGAUUAUAUGUCAUACCUCCAUUGGGGAAUAAGCAUAACCCUGAGAUUCUUACUACUGAUGAGAACAUUAUCUGCAUAUGCCAAAAAAUUUUAAGCAAAUGAAAGCUACCAAUUUAAAGUUACGGAAUCUACCAUUUUAAAGUUAAUUGCUUGUCAAGCUAUAACCACAAAAAUAAUGAAUUGAUGAGAAAUACAAUGAAGAGGCAAUGUCCAUCUCAAAAUACUGCUUUUACAAAAGCAGAAUAAAAGCGAAAAGAAAUGAAAAUGUUACACUACAUUAAUCCUGGAAUAAAAGAAGCCGAAAUAAAUGAGAGAUGAGUUGGGAUCAAGUGGAUUGAGGAGGCUGUGCUGUGUGCCAAUGUUUCGUUUGCCUCAGACAGGUAUCUCUUCGUUAUCAGAAGAGUUGCUUCAUUUCAUCUGGGAGCAGAAAACAGCAGGCAGCUGUUAACAGAUAAGUUUAACUUGCAUCUGCAGUAUUGCAUGUUAGGGAUAAGUGCUUAUUUUUAAGAGCUGUGGAGUUCUUAAAUAUCAACCAUGGCACUUUCUCCUGACCCCUUCCCUAGGGGAUUUCAGGAUUGAGAAAUUUUUCCAUCGAGCCUUUUUAAAAUUGUAGGACUUGUUCCUGUGGGCUUCAGUGAUGGGAUAGUACACUUCACUCAGAGGCAUUUGCAUCUUUAAAUAAUUUCUUAAAAGCCUCUAAAGUGAUCAGUGCCUUGAUGCCAACUAAGGAAAUUUGUUUAGCAUUGAAUCUCUGAAGGCUCUAUGAAAGGAAUAGCAUGAUGUGCUGUUAGAAUCAGAUGUUACUGCUAAAAUUUACAUGUUGUGAUGUAAAUUGUGUAGAAAACCAUUAAAUCAUUCAAAAUAAUAAACUAUUUUUAUUAGAGAAUGUAUACUUUUAGAAAGCUGUCUCCUUAUUUAAAUAAAAUAGUGUUUGUCUGUAGUUCAGUGUUGGGGCAAUCUUGGGGGGGAUUCUUCUCUAAUCUUUCAGAAACUUUGUCUGCGAACACUCUUUAAUGGACCAGAUCAGGAUUUGAGCGGAAGAACGAAUGUAACUUUAAGGCAGGAAAGACAAAUUUUAUUCUUCAUAAAGUGAUGAGCAUAUAAUAAUUCCAGGCACAUGGCAAUAGAGGCCCUCUAAAUAAGGAAUAAAUAACCUCUUAGACAGGUGGGAGAUUAUGAUCAGAGUAAAAGGUAAUUACACAUUUUAUUUCCAGAAAGUCAGGGGUCUAUAAAUUGACAGUGAUUAGAGUAAUACUUUUUCACAUUUCCAAAGUUUGCAUGUUAACUUUAAAUGCUUACAAUCUUAGAGUGGUAGGCAAUGUUUUACACUAUUGACCUUAUAUAGGGAAGGGAGGGGGUGCCUGUGGGGUUUUAAAGAAUUUUCCUUUGCAGAGGCAUUUCAUCCUUCAUGAAGCCAUUCAGGAUUUUGAAUUGCAUAUGAGUGCUUGGCUCUUCCUUCUGUUCUAGUGAGUGUAUGAGACCUUGCAGUGAGUUUAUCAGCAUACUCAAAAUUUUUUUCCUGGAAUUUGGAGGGAUGGGAGGAGGGGGUGGGGCUUACUUGUUGUAGCUUUUUUUUUUUUUACAGACUUCACAGAGAAUGCAGUUGUCUUGACUUCAGGUCUGUCUGUUCUGUUGGCAAGUAAAUGCAGUACUGUUCUGAUCCCGCUGCUAUUAGAAUGCAUUGUGAAACGACUGGAGUAUGAUUAAAAGUUGUGUUCCCCAAUGCUUGGAGUAGUGAUUGUUGAAGGAAAAAAUCCAGCUGAGUGAUAAAGGCUGAGUGUUGAGGAAAUUUCUGCAGUUUUAAGCAGUCGUAUUUGUGAUUGAAGCUGAGUACAUUUUGCUGGUGUAUUUUUAGGUAAAAUGCUUUUUGUUCAUUUCUGGUGGUGGGAGGGGACUGAAGCCUUUAGUCUUUUCCAGAUGCAACCUUAAAAUCAGUGACAAGAAACAUUCCAAACAAGCAACAGUCUUCAAGAAAUUAAACUGGCAAGUGGAAAUGUUUAAACAGUUCAGUGAUCUUUAGUGCAUUGUUUAUGUGUGGGUUUCUCUCUCCCCUCCCUUGGUCUUAAUUCUUACAUGCAGGAACACUCAGCAGACACACGUAUGCGAAGGGCCAGAGAAGCCAGACCCAGUAAGAAAAAAUAGCCUAUUUACUUUAAAUAAACCAAACAUUCCAUUUUAAAUGUGGGGAUUGGGAACCACUAGUUCUUUCAGAUGGUAUUCUUCAGACUAUAGAAGGAGCUUCCAGUUGAAUUCACCAGUGGACAAAAUGAGGAAAACAGGUGAACAAGCUUUUUCUGUAUUUACAUACAAAGUCAGAUCAGUUAUGGGACAAUAGUAUUGAAUAGAUUUCAGCUUUAUGCUGGAGUAACUGGCAUGUGAGCAAACUGUGUUGGCGUGGGGGUGGAGGGGUGAGGUGGGCGCUAAGCCUUUUUUUAAGAUUUUUCAGGUACCCCUCACUAAAGGCACCGAAGGCUUAAAGUAGGACAACCAUGGAGCCUUCCUGUGGCAGGAGAGACAACAAAGCGCUAUUAUCCUAAGGUCAAGAGAAGUGUCAGCCUCACCUGAUUUUUAUUAGUAAUGAGGACUUGCCUCAACUCCCUCUUUCUGGAGUGAAGCAUCCGAAGGAAUGCUUGAAGUACCCCUGGGCUUCUCUUAACAUUUAAGCAAGCUGUUUUUAUAGCAGCUCUUAAUAAUAAAGCCCAAAUCUCAAGCGGUGCUUGAAGGGGAGGGAAAGGGGGAAAGCGGGCAACCACUUUUCCCUAGCUUUUCCAGAAGCCUGUUAAAAGCAAGGUCUCCCCACAAGCAACUUCUCUGCCACAUCGCCACCCCGUGCCUUUUGAUCUAGCACAGACCCUUCACCCCUCACCUCGAUGCAGCCAGUAGCUUGGAUCCUUGUGGGCAUGAUCCAUAAUCGGUUUCAAGGUAACGAUGGUGUCGAGGUCUUUGGUGGGUUGAACUAUGUUAGAAAAGGCCAUUAAUUUGCCUGCAAAUUGUUAACAGAAGGGUAUUAAAACCACAGCUAAGUAGCUCUAUUAUAAUACUUAUCCAGUGACUAAAACCAACUUAAACCAGUAAGUGGAGAAAUAACAUGUUCAAGAACUGUAAUGCUGGGUGGGAACAUGUAACUUGUAGACUGGAGAAGAUAGGCAUUUGAGUGGCUGAGAGGGCUUUUGGGUGGGAAUGCAAAAAUUCUCUGCUAAGACUUUUUCAGGUGAACAUAACAGACUUGGCCAAGCUAGCAUCUUAGCGGAAGCUGAUCUCCAAUGCUCUUCAGUAGGGUCAUGAAGGUUUUUCUUUUCCUGAGAAAACAACACGUAUUGUUUUCUCAGGUUUUGCUUUUUGGCCUUUUUCUAGCUUAAAAAAAAAAAAAGCAAAAGAUGCUGGUGGUUGGCACUCCUGGUUUCCAGGACGGGGUUCAAAUCCCUGCGGCGUCUUUGCUUUGACUACUAAUCUGUCUUCAGGACUCUUUCUGUAUUUCUCCUUUUCUCUGCAGGUGCUAGUUCUUGGAGUUUUGGGGAGGUGGGAGGUAACAGCACAAUAUCUUUGAACUAUAUACAUCCUUGAUGUAUAAUUUGUCAGGAGCUUGACUUGAUUGUAUAUUCAUAUUUACACGAGAACCUAAUAUAACUGCCUUGUCUUUUUCAGGUAAUAGCCUGCAGCUGGUGUUUUGAGAAGCCCUACUGCUGAAAACUUAACAAUUUUGUGUAAUAAAAAUGGAGAAGCUCUAAAUUGUUGUGGUUCUUUUGUGAAUAAAAAAAUCUUGAUUGGGGAAAAAAGAUGGGUGUUCUGUGGGCUUGUUCUGUUAAAUCUGUGGUCUAUAAACACAGCACCCAUAAUUACAGCAUAAUCUUCAAGUAGGGUACGGACUUUGGGGGAUUGGUGCGAGGGUAGUGGGUGAGUGGCCUACUAAAAAGCCCAGUAACCCCCACAGGAAAAUAGGGAACUUCUUUUUAAGUAGCCUCCUUUCCACUAUUUAGUAAUUGGCUGUGAGCUGGGCUGGGGGAGAAAUGGGGCGGGGUGUGUGUGUCAUUGGAAAGCUCUCUUUUUUGUUUUUUUGAGACAGUCUCACUUUGUCCCCCAGGCUGGAGUGUAGUGGCAUGAUCUCUGCAAACUGCAACCUCCACUUCUGGGGUCCAAGUGGUUGUCCUGCUUCACCCUCCCUGUAGCUGGGACUACAGGUGCACACCACCACGCCUGGCUAAUUUUUGUAUUUUCAGUUAGAGACGUGGUUUUACCAUAUUGGCCAGGCUGGUCUCAAACUCCUGACCUCGUGUGAUCCACCCGCCUGGGCCUCUGAAAGUGCUGGGAUUACAGGUGUGAGCCACCAAGCCUGGCCGAUCCUUUUAAGUUUUUAAACCAGUUAAGCUCUUUGGUUCCCCCUCAGAGUCCCAAGGUCCUGGGUCACUCAGGAUCACAUUUUCCUUUAAUCAGUUGUCACUGGUCCCCUUUUGUCCCUUUGAACGUGCUGUGGGAUUAGUAGCAGCAUCUGGCUGUUGGAAGGACUGGCUGGGAUCUCAGGUGAAAUACCCUCCCUGGCCCUCCUUACCCUUAAGAUCUCCCUGAAAAGUCAGACCUUGCUUAUUGGAGUUUGAGAUGCAUUCUAGUAAACCCAGACCUACCAGAGAGAGGGACCCACGUCUGAAGAAUCUUCCAGCCUGGGGAACCUGUGACUGGCCACACCCUUAGCCUAAUGGAGGGGCCUCAGAAGCAGAACUACCUUUUUUUUUUUUUUUAAUGGUAUUACAUUUUGCAAAUGGAGAGGUAGACUCUGAUUGGGCCCCUUUUGACAACGCAGCAGAGCUGAGGUUUGAAUCCUAGUCAGUCAACACUUCAACCCCUAUGUUGCUGUUUCUUCAAUGUCUAGAAUGUUCUGAUAGAUGAAGCAAUGGCCCGGCAGGUCAGCAGCACACCAACCCCCAACCUACCCAGCCUGUAUAGGCCUUGGCCACAGGAGCUUUCUCUUCCCUUGAAGUGAUCUAAUGGGGGAUGGGGUAUCUGUCUCGCUGGUUAUGAAAGAAGCUGAGCUAGGUGCUCUCCUAAGUUGCUUAAGUGUCUUCUGAAUUGAUGCCCAGUCAGUUUCGUAUGGAGAAAGGUCUCUGUUUUUCCAAAGCAGAAGGUUCUGUGGAAGCACAAAUACUUUACUGGAGAGCAAAGGAGUACGAGUAGGAAUUGGGGGCCACGCACAGUGGCUCACGCCUAUAAUCCCAGGACUUUGGGAGGCCGAGGUGGGCAGAUCACCUGAGGUCAGGAGUUCGAGACCAGCCUGACCAACAUGGAGAAACCCCAUCUCUACUAAAAAUACAAAAUUAGCCGGGCGUGGUGGCGUAUGUCUGUAACCCCAGCUAUUCGAGAGGCUGAGGUAGGAGAAUCGCUUGGACCCGGGAGGCGGAGGUUGCAGUGAGCUGAGAUUGCGCCACUGCACUCCAGCCUGGGCAACAAGAGCGAAACUGUCUCAAAAAAAAAAAAAAAAGAAGAAGAAAGGCUGGGCACGGUGGCUCAAGCCUGUAAUCCCAGCACUUUGGGAGGCCGAGGCGGGCGGAUCACGAAGUCAGGAGAUUGAAACCAUCCUGGCUAACACGGUGAAACCCCGUCUCUACUACACACACACACACACACACACACACACACACACACACACACACAAUUUGCUGGGCGUGGUGGAGGGCGCCUGUAGUCCUAGCUACUCGUGAGGCUGAGGCAGGAGAAUGGCGUGAACCUGGGAGGCGGAGCUUGCCGUGAGGUGAGAUCGGGCCACUGCACUCCAGCCUGGGCGACAGAGCGAGACUCCGUCUUAAAAAAAAAAAAAAAAAAAAAAAGAGUAGGAGCUGGGCAUUCGCCAGGGGCUACGUAGUUCCUGGAGUUGAGGAAGUUCUCCAGGAUUGAAAAAUGUAAAGAUCAGACACUGAUCACAGCAACAGGAGGAGGCAGAAAAGUAGGCCGGAAGUCAUUUCCACCCUCUGAGCACAAAAUGGAGAGCAUAAAUUCCCCAAAAGCUCCUGUCCAAGUCAAGGGGACUGCGCUUUUUUUUUUUUUUUUGGAAACAGAGUCUCCCUCUGUCGCCAGGCUGGAGUGCAGUAGUGUGAUCUCGGCUCACUGCAACCUCCGCCUCCUGAGUUCAAGCGAUUCUCCUGCCUCAACCUUCCGACUAGCUGGAACUACAGGCGCGCCACCACGCCCAGCUAAUUUUUGUAUAUUUAGUAGACGCGGGGUUUCACCAUGUUGGCCAGGAUGGUCUCGAUCUCUUGACGUCGUGAUCCUCCCGCCUCGGCCUCCCGAAGUGCUGGGAUUACAAGGAUGAGCCACCGCGCCCGGCCGACUGCUCUUAAUAAUAUAAACAAGCCCUAG
rnacentral:lncRNA from 1 species